ACGCAACGCGCAGAACCUUACCUGGUCUUGACAUCCCGAGAAUUUCCUUGAAGAGGAAGUGCCUCGCAAGAGGAGCUUGGAGACAGGUGCUGCAUGGCUGUCGUCAGCUCGUGUCGUGAGAUGUUGGGUUAAGUCCCGCAACGAGCGCAACCCUUGUCUUUAAUUGCCAGCAUUCAGUUUGGGCACUUUAAAGAGACUGCCGGUGUUAAGCCGGAGGAAGGUGGGAUGACGUCAAGUCCUCAUGGCCUUUAUGCCCAGGGCUACACACGUGCUACAAUGGGUGGUACAAAGAGAUGCCAACUCGCGAGAGCGCGCCAAUCUCAGAAAGCCAUCCUCAGUUCGGAUUGGAGUCUGCAACUCGACUCCAUGAAGUUGGAAUCGCUAGUAAUCGCGGAUCAGCACGCCGCGGUGAAUACGUUCCCGGGCCUU
rnacentral:rRNA from 1 species